UGAAAUUUAAAGCACACAUUCAGAGUACGUUGUGAAAAAACACGAGUGUCUCUUAGAAAAUACUGCUUUGCAUUUACUCAGUUGUAAAAAAAAUGACGAAAAGAUGACAAGAGUAAGAACCAUUACUUGUCUGCAACUCCUUCCAUUUAAGUCUCUGGACUCCAAAGUGUUGUUGUAAAACAUCCCUAUUUUUGUCUGGGUGACAGAGGUCGAACAGACAUCUACAACAAAGGUGCUGAAUCCAAAUGUCUACACGAUUGAGCUGAGCCACUGGGACUUCACAUGGAAAAUCAAACGCUGUUUCAAGCACUUCCAAGCUCUUCAUCAGGAGCUGCUGAUGUUCAAGGCUCCUCUAAAGCUCCCCCUGCCAACCUGCAUUUUCCUUUCAGCAAGAGAAGAAGAUGAAUCAUUUGUCUUAAAGUUGCUGUCUUUGAGUUUUCCUUCGGCUGUUCUGGACAACUGUAAGAAAUGUGAGAAAUGGCUGGUGGUGAAGGACUCUUUUGUUCUCUCCAUGAGGCCAAAGAACAACCAGGUGGGGAUGGUGAACCUCUGUGAUAGGGGCUUUCACAUCAAGAUGAGCACCCUGGAGACCGGGGUCCAUUAUGGAGUCACCAUCCUGAACCUCUGCAGGCAGGAAGCUCUUUUUUUAUCGCAUUUACAUUCUGCUGUGAUGGCAUAGCUAUACGUUUGUGCUGACUGCAGUCCUGAAAAGUACUUGUGUGGUGUUUUCUGUAUAUCUUGAUAUAAAGCCACAAAUGUCAAAUCCAUAUUGUACAGAGAUAACGCAUGCUCACUGCAUCAGGGUGUACUUACAGAGAUGUGCUGGACAUAAAAGAGCUGUAGUUGUGUGUAAAUAAAUGAAACUGGUUGAAAACUGCAGCCGGUAACCUUCUUAUUAGGGAGAAGAGAAAACUUGAAUCAGAAAAUAAGAUACUUAAAGGUAUUGAAUGUGACAAAAAAUAUUUGUAUCCUUUUAUCCUGAACCACCUCUGGAUAGAAGCCCUUGCAGCAAAACAAGCAAUAGCAAUAGCAAUUGUAUU